CAGCCGUAAACAAUGUGCGUUAGGUGUGUCGGUAACCACGUGUUACUGAUGCGCCGAGGAGAAAUCGUGAAACGCACCACCUGGGAAGUACGGUCGCAAGGCUGAAACUUAAAGGAAUUGGCGGGGGAGCACCACAACAGGUGGAGCCUGCGGUUUAAUUGGACUCAACGCCGGAAAUCUCACCGGAUAGGACCAGACAUAUGAUAGUCGGGCUGAAGACUCUACUUGAUGAUCUGAGAGGAGGUGCAUGGCGUCAGUGACU
rnacentral:rRNA from 1 species